rnacentral:rRNA from 1 species
UACGUAGGGUGCGAGCGUUGUCCGGAAUUAUUGGGCGUAGAGGGCUCGUAGGCGGUUUGUCACGUCAGGAGUGAAAACUCGGGGCUCAACCCCGAGACUGCUUCUGAUACGGGCAGACUGGAGGUAUGCAGGGGAGAACGGAAUUCCUGGUGUAGCGGUGAAAUGCGCAGAUAUCAGGAGGAACACCGGUGGCGAAGGCGGUUCUCUGGGCAUUACCUGACGCUGAGGAGCGAAAGUGUGGGGAGCGAACAGG